GGCGUGUCUUUAAGCGGUAAACAAAGUAGCACGGGGGAAAGUUUAGGGAAGUACCAGGUAGUGGGAUAUUUCUGUUGUUGACUCUGCUGUUGGGAACUUCUGUGUUUACGUCCACAAAAUGACCGCCACUUCAGAAACACACUUCAUGGAGUCGCAGAGGGGGGACGGCCGUAAGGAGGGAGAGAAAUCGACGGCAACGGCGGAGAAGUUCGGUAUCUUCUGUGAUGAACGCGGAUAUCUGGAUCUGAUCGAAUACAUAAUCCAAUACGGCCGCAGGAAUGGAGACACAGGGCGCCAACUCUCACGCUUUGGCCGUGAGACACACGCAACUCAAUCCAUUCACACGCCACACUCCCAAUAUCACACGGGCAAAAAAAAAAUCCACUUUGCUGUUAUGGGAAUAUGUAACCUUUGGGGAAAUCCAAUCCGCGUUUUCCCUCCAGAGAACGCCAAGUUUGUGAAAAUCCGGUCCGUAUUUUCCGUCCUACACUCCCCAGUCAUUGUGCAGCUGUAGGUGGCUGUCAGGCUGGAUGUCUCUGAGGGACGGACCUGUGUCUGGAAGCGCUGCCCGGGAGCUUUAAAUGAUCGCGAAGGAUUGAUUCCAGAUCAUCAUACCGACAUUAACCUAUUUUCAGGAACAUGACAAGCUGUGGGAGGAGUUUAUCGACUACCAAGUCAUGCAGGUGUCUCUUCAAAUCCAAGAAGACCUUGACUUGGAGCACUUCUGGGCAGAACUGGUCAGCAGGAAGCACAAGAGAACAGACAUCACACAUUUUCGAGGUCUCGUGGGAAUACCUGAAUAGGCGGCCAAGGGUCCACCUAGUGACCCAACCUAUCCCAUGAUGCACUGCACACUGAUGAGAGUUGGCCUACUGAGAACAUUGAGACUCCACAAGCUGAACUUCAGCAGCAGUAGAUUAGACGUUUAAAUGUAAGUAUCAGGUCACUUCCAUUUCAUACAGUCAAAUUACAUCAACACACGGAAAAAAAAUUCAAAACUUUUGACUAAAUCAUGCCAAAACAAGAAAAGUCUCGGUUUUUGUUUCAUUUUCGACCAACAAGGUUGCUAGGCGACUGAAGAGACAGGAGGUCCUCUAGAGCCCAAAGCAUCCCAUUUAACACCUUCAUAUCCUUUAAAGGCGUGGUCUUACAGGACACAUCCUUCACAGUGGGACACAGCUAUUGGAUGAAAUGAAAGAUUCCUCUGAGUUUGAACAUCAUUGAAAGCAUUCUGCCUAAUCUAAGUGCCCAUUUUAAAACAAAUGACAUACUAUACCUUUAAACAACUCGUAACCUUGUACUGCUGUGCGGAGAAACCUUGAAGGUGUGACAAAUGCAUGACAAAAUCACUGACGACUCACAUCUACAAGGGGGUUCCACAUCUUAAGAACAUUAGAAACCACGGUUUUCCCCUUUAACUCCCUUCACUCAGAGUCCAGCAGCCCUUAUAAGGAUUCACAGCUGCUGUGAUUCAGUCAAAGUUGUGCAAAAGUGCAGAGCUGUUCAGGAUGUGACUUGUUAGCGAGUCACUCUAAUCCUGACAGUUUACAUUGCUUUAAAAAAAACAGACAGACUAGAAUAACAAUAAAGCUCAGAUUGUGACUCAGCUGUUAAAAUCAGCGACUUAAGACGAAAUGACAGCGUCACCGAAAGCACCCGAACCUCCUUUUCUUGCACCUCCUUCCUUCUUAACCCCAUCCUGAUCUUCUAAGAACCUGAAUCAGCAUGAGUCCAACACUGAGUUUGAUAUCUGUAAUGAGGAUUUGGCAAUUUUACCUCAACUUUCAAUUAAAAAAUAAUGAAAAAAGGUGAUGAAAAUGGAUGAAAUAAGUGAACAUUUUGUGGGAGAACUUACAAAAAUGACAGAUGAGUUUCCACUUUCAGUCUUUUUUUUUGCAAAUAUAAUCCUUAAGCUUCAUGUUUAUGAUAAUUAAACAAUAUCUAUCAUAACUGAUGUUAUCAUAGUGGAGCAUAUUAAGCUACUUUAGAGAAUUUAUCUGCAAUCUGAUAUUCCUCUGGGAUUUAAAGCACAUGCUGUCUCUUCACUGAUGUCUUUUAUUUAUAUAUAAAUGAUUAAUUACGACAUUUGCAGGCAAAACUGCAGCUUUAUGUUAUUUUAUCAGAGGACAGCUUCCUUCCUUUGAUGACAGGUCAGACAGGCCCAUCUCCAUCUGAUCCUGCUGCUCUCACAAAGACCACUUUCAUUUCAUUU